UCUAUCACCGUCUUUUACGCGUUAAGUCAGCACUGCAAAAUUCAGCCUAACUCCAUAUCAAGUGCCAACUGUCCAAUUGUCAUCUGUGUCGUCGUUGCAAAUCUGUUGCUAAACCACUAGGUAGUUCAUGGAAGCCCGACGGCGAACUCCGAAAAGCUGUUGCAGGACUUCAUGAACGGUAACUAUUUGAUGACGAAUCCCUUUGAGGGAGGUCUUCUAUAUCCUGCCAUGUCUGCUUACUACAGGUCUUAAUAUCGUUCUCGGCGCUCUUGCUGUGAAGGCUCUGAACGGCACGCCGACUGGUAUACCCUCAACGGCGGUCGACUUGACAACCAUCUGCUUUCUUUUCUCUUGUCGAAUUUCAGUUUAACCAUCGCUGGUGCUUGGCGUUGGUACUUUAUCGUAGGACCAAUAGUCCGAGAUCCACCGUGCCACAACGACCACGGCCAAGUGCUGAUCGACGUCGUCAGCCAGCGCGUCAACGUGGACUAAAACAUAAGGACCUAUCACAAUAUGCGACACUCGGUUGGUGUCAAUGAAGUUGCCAAAUGAGUGACUGUGACUAGGACAACAAAAAAGAACCUAACCCUGUCCCCCGUCGUCUCCGCGGAAAGUCGCAAACAGCAAACGUAUUACCAAGCCCACUGUGUAAUGCAAUCGUACUGUUUUUUGUCAUAUGCGUAGUUGAUGCCAGCUUCACCCAUGGCGGUUUCGCUGCUGUUGACGAAGGGAGAAAGGCCAUUCAAGUGAGAUCAGUCCACGCGUCAAUCCUACGGAAACGACAUCAUUCACUCGAUCCGAUCAAUGUCAUCGUCGUAUUGAUUUGUUGCUUGGCAGACAGAUGUUGCAACGUACAAACGGAAGAAAAGGACCUAGAGUACUCCGCCCCAUCGAUAAACCAACCUGAACUGAACCCAGAUCGCAGCGAAUACAAGCAGUCGCUCUGCUAGUAAAUCAAAUAUCGGCUAAGUUGUCUGUUCAGCAGGUCAUAUGUACGAGAUAGGGCGGACGGUGGCGCUCCACUUCCAGCGAUUAUGAAGUUGCGUAUUUCGAUGAAAUCGUGCGAUAAUCCAAAAUCCCAACGGAGUCAGGAAAUCAAUAAAAACG